rnacentral:lncRNA from 1 species
UAGCCGUCACUGUAACUGUUGCGCGAGCUGGAGCUGCGCGCGUUACAGGCGCAGCUCGACCGCGCGCACCUCGCCGUGCGCACGCUCACCGACCUGCUCACGGAGCUGCGCGACCAGAUGACUGAACAGAGGAAGCAGAAGCAACGUAUUGGCUUGCUCAACUCAACCUCUGCGUACCUCCAGAACUUGCAAAUGAACCUGCCACCGUGAGCGACACCCCCACCCUCACGCUGUGGCACACGUCACACACCUGUACCAUUACAGGGUUGCCACAUAUUACACAAAGAUUAUGGAUAUACCAUAUUUUCUGGAUAAUUAAUACGAUAAACUUUUUUAUUUUAAAUAUGGCAACCCUAAUAGUGUACAUGAUUUUUUUAUCGAUUUUCCUCCAAACUACCACUAAGUUUAUUUUAUAAGGUAUCGGAAAUAGUACAAAUGUAAAUGUGCGGCCGUGUGUUCGCACUUUUGUUUGACGUAAAGUACCGAUAGUUUUAUCGAUAUCGAUAAAGUUAUUCCUCCGUUUAUGAAACAUUUCAUAGUAUUUAAACUCACACGUUCUAUCUGCCUUUCUCUCUUUAUCUCUUAAUUUAAACUUAUCUAUCGAUAUCGAUAAAAUUUCACCCUAAAACAUAGAUUCAGUUUCGGAAACUCGGAAUUUAAGGUUUUGUGAUAAUUUUAGUAAGUUUUUUAAUAAGAUGUGUGUCACUUAACACGUGUACGCUUCGUAAACGCAUAUCUCGAUAUGUCGCACAAACACGUUCGCUGCCGGUUGACAUGAUCGUGGCAGUGCGUGUCAUGUCACAACGGCUUGUUCACGGUUUGACGUCACCGCACUUUCACUGACAGUGCCACAUACAUUUUAUAUAUAUUUGACAAAUCAUUUGAUGUCCAAACAUGUAAGACGUCCAUGGACAAUAUAGCGAGCGUAGACCUUUUACAUUUCCACUGACACACAAUGACGUAGAUUUCGGAAAAUCGAAACUUAUUUAUUAUAUAUACGUAACGCUAGUGGUUUUGUCCAAAGUUAGACGUAGACGGUACAUAUCUAGACAUUUCGCAUAGAAUAGUUUAGAUAUAUGGAGCGUUUAGUCCGAUGUCGCCAAUGAAUUAUAUUAUGAACAAAUGAUGCUUGUUCCUUUUGUUGUAGCGGAUAUCGAUAAUUGGGGGGAUAUACCUUAUUUGAUAAUGUUUAUUGCUGAUAGGGAUUUUAAGGUAGAGGCUAUGAAACUCGACGUAGUAUUUGGAAUUAACGUGAUAAAAAUUUAAUGCUAUUACAAAUUUUAGAUAAACUGCGAAUAUUUUUAUAGCGACGUAGUUUAUAUCGACACUGAUAUAAAGUAUCCCCACUAUGAAAUAUCGAUUUAUAUUGCGCUUUUUUUAUCGAUAUUAAUUCUUUGUAAUAACCGACCUCUCCCCCCAAAUUAAAAAUAUCCAAAGUGCAAUAUUUAGCUCAAAAUCCCGUUACCUAUUUACAGUAGUUAGAGAAAUAUCAAAUUUUAUUAGAGAAAUUAACUAAAACUUUAUCGAUCUAGGCGUCCUCCGCGUCGUAUUGUUUUCUAUGUUGUUAGUGUAGGCGGGUGUUUGUUACUUAUGCCCCGGUUUUGUGUUGUAACGCUACAUUUAUCGUGAAUUUUAUCGAAAUUUCCAGGAGUUGUUGUGGUCACAAUUAUCGAUAUUUUCAUCUGGGCUCUUUAGAAUUUGGGUUCUAACACUUCUCAUUAAAGUCAGGUUUUGAAUAAUCACUAUUUUACUAAUUUUGUUUUAUUAAAUAUCACUAUAGAUUACGAAUUAAAAUGUUAAAUCCUAAUAAAUGUAACGUUAACACACAAGCCAUGUAACUAUCCUAGUAUGUAAGUAUAUUGAACCUUAUUACCAGACAAAUAAUGGUUGUUUUAAAUGACAUUUUUAUGGUAAUGUGACGAAAAAUCAAGUCAUAUCGCAGUUGAACUAAUUUGAUGACCGUACAAAUAUUGUAUGAUUUUAAUAAAGUUAUUAUUGUUUUUUACUGUCAACAAUUUUGAAAUAUUUUGGUAUUAACUAUAACAAUGCCUCAGUAGAUUAGUUUCAUUGCGUGCGCGAUACGAUUCCUUCUCUAAGGUCUCAGAUUUGAAUCCUGAGUCGGGGAAGAUGAUAGUGGGUUUUUCUACUUAAUAUCAACUCGUAGUCUGGAGAUUAGACCCGAUAUGGCAAUAGCUCGCUUCAUUUUCAUCGGACGGGAUACACACAGUGGAAAAUGGAUGCAUAAGUUGCACUUUUGCCUACCCCUUCAGGGACGAAACAUUUACCACAUCAGAAUGAUGUAUUUUGCAAUUCAAAGUUGAUAAUUUUUUGUUUUAGAAAAUGUAGAAAUUACUUCUCAUAAUUGUCUAAAAUGUACAAAUUCUAUCAUCUAUUCUGUAAAUAUGAAAUUUAAAACCUAAGACAAUGAACAAAGAAUAAAUGCAGUAUGUCAUAAUACAUUAUUCACAGAAAUUGAUAGGGUUGAUAACAAGGUACUUUUUUAUUCGGCUUCAAACUGGCGGGCAUUGUCGACUGGUGAGUCAUUCUCAUUAGUCCGUAUAUGGAGCCCAUUACUAACCAUCAAGUGCAUGGGGUUCUGUUUACUAUACCCGAAUAACAAAACUGCUGAAUACCUCGGCCAAAUCACUUUUUCAAAUAUUCUAAGUUACACCAAACAUUGUUUUGAAAUUCUUGAUAAUUCAUUCUAUAUCUCAGAUUUAUUUUUAUUGCUUAGAAUGACGAGACGAGCUUACCGUUCGCCUGAUGGGAAGCGAUACGACCAUAAACAGCAGUAACACCAACAUUAUGAAUUACAAAGUAUAGUUUGGUAUUCCACUGCGCUCGCCAUCCUGUGACAUGAGAUGUUAAAUCUUAUUAUGUCCAAUAGUUACUUCAUUUCGAAAUUGUUGAUAGUACAAAUCCUUAGGUUUUAUUUAAAAACUUAUUCUUUAUUCAUUUAAUUGUUUAUAUUUUUGUUCUGAAACCCAAUUUUUCAUGUUAUCAAGUUUUUAUCAUGCCUUAAUCAAACUCAAUCAUGUUUGAACAAAGAAAGGAUCAUCCAAAUCAUUUGAUUUACGAAUUUAAAGUGUAAUGAAGAAAUUUCCCAUUAAAUUAGUCUCCGUUAAACAUCCUUUAAAUUCUCUCGAAUAAAGAUCUUUAUUUAUAAUCUAACUAUUGAUCUGUUAGUGUAAGUAAGCUAUGAAACUUGUUACCAAAUGUUCUUGUAUAAUAUUUUGUUAUUGGCAUUUGUAUGUACUUAAAAUUAUAUCUUUGUAUAUAUUAACUACUUAUUACCACUCAUGCGCCAUCAAAAGGUAGAAAUCACGUUAUUAAAAUUGGCUCAAAAUUUAUUAUUGAGAGUAUUAAAUGUAUAGUAUUUAUCCAAAAUCAUUGCUUAUAGAAACUUAGGAGUCAUGGCAUUUUAAACUAAUCAAUUCUAUAGAAUUGUAGACAUAUCAAAUUGUCGAGUUUAUAUCAUAAAUAUUUGUGAAUUAACGAAUUUCAAAACUUAGCUCAAUGCAUGCUCAUAUUUUUUUAAUCUGUGGCUAUGCGGAGAUCAAGCCAAACACAUGUCACUAGCGCCCUCUAUUGAGUAUCGUAACUUUGUUUCCAUCGACCAAACUAUUAGAUCUUUACUAUAACUAUUUCUCGUCUAAAAACUAUAUUUUUAAAUUUAUCUUUUACAUUUUCGAAGAGGAUAUAUGAAAUUUAUAUUUACUGCACGUAUACAUUCCUAGUGUAUUUUUUAUAUAAUUUAUUGUAUUUCAUCAGCAUUGUAUUUAACGGAUGCCUGACAAGAUUUAAUCGAUGGAUGAACAUACAUUCGAAGUAAUUUUAAGUUUUUCGCCGCAUAAUUGCAGUUAUAAGUACUAGAACAUUUUGAAUCUACAUUAAAAUCUAAAUCACUAAACUUUGUAUGGAUUGGUAGCGCAAAUUGCAAAUUUUCAGUGCAAUGCCUAAAGCAACGAUAAUUGUGAAUUGUAAUUUGCAACUACUGUAACAAUAAAUUAGUCAAACAUGUUUUUUUGUUAUAAUAUUCAAAAAACAAUAAACAAAAGGUAAACUGUUUUAAUGGAAAUCCAAACCAAAUACUUAUAAAGAAUUACUUUCAAAAUACGUUGAGAUGUUCUACUCUUUGUUGACUUGCGAAUUCCAACGAAGUAAAUGUUUUCUUUUUAUAUCCUUUAUCAAUCGAUUAAGGUCUGACGGGUGACGUAUGCGUCUUUAAAUAUAAAAUAGUUGUCUAUUUUAGUAAUAAUGUACUAACCUAGCGGAUAUUAUGGACGUUGGUUGGUUAGACGCUGUGAUGGCUGCAAUAAUGCGUUUUGUUUUAUUGAAAAAUAAAUAUAUGGCACAAAAGUUGUUUUUA